AGAGUUUGAUCCUGGCUCAGAACGAACGCUGGCGGCAGGCUUAACACAUGCAAGUUGAACGGGAUUUGCUAAGUGCUUGCACGGAGCAAUGAGAGUAGCGCACUGGUGAGUAACACGUGGGAACAUGCCUUUUGGUGGGGGACAACAGAGGGAAACUUCUGCUAAUACCGCAUAAGCCCUAAGGGGGAAAGAUUAAUUGCCGAAAGAUUGGCCCGCGGAAGAUUAGGUAGUUGGUGGGGUAAAGGCCUACCAAGCCGACGAUCUAUAGCUGGUCUGAGAGGACGAACAGCCACAUUGGAACUGAGACACGGUCCAGACUCCUACGGGAGGCAGCAGUGAGGAAUAUUGGGCAAUGGAGGAAACUCUGACCCAGCCAUGCCGCGUGAGUGAAGAAGGUUUUCGAAUUGUAAAGCUCUUUCGGAUACGAGGAUGAUGACGGUAGUAUCUAAAGAAGCCCCGGCAAACUUCGUGCCAGCCGCCGC
rnacentral:rRNA from 1 species